rnacentral:RNase_P_RNA from 1 species
UGAGGCAGAUGAAUGAUCGCGUGCUAAUGGCAUGAGGAAAGUCCGAGCACCGCAGGGCAGGGUGCCAGCUAACGGCUGGUGGAGGCGACUCCAAGGCAAGUGCAACAGAGAGAUACCGCCGCAAUCGCGGUAAGGGUGGAAAGGUGCGGUAAGAGCGCACCGGCGGCCUGGCGACUGGCCCGUCAUGUAAACCCCACUUGGUGCAAGAUAACUGGAAGCAUAUCAAGCGGCCCGUUUGGCUUCCGACCUUCGCUUCAGCAGCCUGGCGACUGGCUGCGCAGAUAGAUGAUCAUUCUUGACAGAACUCGGCUUACAGUCUGCGCUCAUUGA